GGCUUUAAGCACAAGAGGAGGAUCUGGCAGGCUCUUGCCUGCAGUAGGUCCUACAGUGGAGGGGCAGCAGCUGUCACUGUGAAGGAAGGCAGAGACUCUGGUUAUCAGCCGGCACUGCAUGUAACCAGUCUCUGGAGAGGAGGCUGUCUCUGUUGUCACCUCCAACAUCCUAUGCCCCUAAGAGUGACCAGGAAAGACAUGGAACUGACCUGAGACUUCAUCCAGAACCAGAAAAGGCAAUUCUGAGGGACAUUUCAAGGGAAAACGUGAGACAAAAAUCAGUUAC
rnacentral:lncRNA from 10 species